UGAUAUUGCAACACUAAAAUAUCCGCCAGAAAACUACGAGCGAAAAGCUUAAAACUCAAAGGACUUGGCGGUGCUCCACACCGACUUAGAGGAGCCUGUCCUAUAAUCGAUACCCCACGUUAAACCUCACCAAUCUUUGCCCAGCCUAUAUACCGCCGUCGUCAACCUACCUCAUGAGAGAAAAAUAGUAAGUGUAAAAGUUCAGUAACUAAAACGUCAGGUCAAGGUGUAGCUUAUAGAAUGGAAGAGAUGGGCUACAUUUUUUAAGAUAAAACACACGGCAUGGUACUAUGAAAUUUUUACCUGAAGGAGGAUUUAAUAGUAAACUUAACAAGAAAAUUAAUUUUAAAC
rnacentral:rRNA from 1 species